rnacentral:lncRNA from 1 species
UCACACUGGUUCCCAUACGACCCCGUCGCCGUGGUGAACGCCGAUCCUUAAAGACUUUUCCCGGCGUUCGCAUCUCUCCGCCCAGGGUCCCUCGCGUUCAAUCCCCGCCCGUGUUGCCUUUCAACUCCGCUUCUGACGCCUUUCAACUCCACCCCAACUUCGCUUCAUAUGGAACGACCCUCAGAGCCGACCACGUCAUCGCGAACUCGCUCGAGGAGACGGAGGGGCGGUACGGCAAAGG